ACGAUCAGAUACCGUCGUAGUCCUAACUAUAAACGAUGUCAACCAAGGAUUGGAUGAAAUUCAGHAUGUACAAAGAUGAAGAAACAUUGUUUCUAAAUCCAAGUAUAUCAAUACUACCUUGUUCAGAACUUAAAGAGAAAUCUUGAGUUUAUGGACUUCAGGGGGAGUAUGGUCACAAGGCUGAAACUUAAAGGAAUUGACGGAAGGGCACACCAGGAGUGGAGCCUGCGGCUUAAUUUGACUCAACACGGGAAAACUUACCAAGACCGAACAGUAGAAGGAAUGACAGAUUAAGAGUUCUUUCAUGAUUUAUUGGGUAGUGGUGCAUGGCCGUUCUUAGUUGGUGGAGUGAUUUGUCAGGUUAAUUCCGGUAACGAACGAGACUGAAACCUAUUAAUUAGUUUUCUGCCUAUAAGACAGAAAUGUUCGCAAGAACAGGUGCGUAAGUACCACUUCUUAAAGGGACACAUUUCAAUUGUCCUAUUUUAAUUGUUAGUUAUCUAAUUUCGAUUAGAAC
rnacentral:rRNA from 1 species